AGCAGCCGCGGUAAUUCCAGCUCCAAUAGCGUAUAUUAAAGUUGUUGCAGUUAAAAAGCUCGUAGUUGAAUUUCGAGAUCAGUACGCUGGUCGUGCCUUUGGUAUGCACUGGUGUCACUGGUUUCUCCCUUCUGAAGAACUGUCAUGCCAUUCAGUUGGUGUGGCGGGGAAUCAGGACUGUUACUUUGAAAAAUUAGAGUGUUUAAAGCAGGCUCGCGCUUGAAUACAUUAGCGUGGAAUAAUGAAAUAGGACGUUUGACCCUAUUUUGUUGGUUUCUAGGAUCGACGUAAUGAUUAAUAGGGAUAGUUGGGGGCAUUAGUAUUCAAUUGUCAGAGGUGAAAUUCUUGGAUUUAUUGAAGACUAACUACUGCGAAAGCAUUUGCCAAGGAUGUUUUCAUUAAUCAAGAACGAAAGUUAGGGGAUCGAAGACGAUCAGAUACCGUCGUAGUCUUAACCAUAAACUAUGCCGACUAGGGAUCGGAUGAUGUUAAUUUUUAAUGACCCAUUC
rnacentral:rRNA from 1 species